UCUCCACGAUGGAUCGCACAACAUUCACAAGAAAGUUCUCUAUGAGUACAAGCACCAGCUGCACAGACAUAUUCUGGAACUGGACAUGCAGAAUUCGCCACGCAGUCUUGUCACCUAGAACUGCCACGGUGGCCUGCUUCUAGUUCUCAAGGCAA